rnacentral:rRNA from 1 species
AUUUGAAGGGCCGCAGUAUUUUGACUGUGCAAAGGUAGCAUAAUCAUUAGUUUUUUAAUUGAGGGCUAGAAUGAAUGGUUUGACGAAAUAUUAACUGUCUCAAUGUAAAAUAAAGAAUUUAACUUUUGAGUCAAAAGGCUUAAAUAGAAAUGGAGGACGAGAAGACCCUAUAGAGCUUUAUAUAUUAUAAGAAUAUUUAAUUUAGAAUUAUUGAAAUAUUUUUAGAAAUAUAUUGUGUUGGGGUGACAUAGAGAUUUAAAUAACUCUUUAUUAAAAGUACAUUGAUUUAUGAAUAUUUGAUCCAUUAUUAUUGAUUGUAAGAUAAAGUUACCUUAGGGAUAACAGCGUAAUUUUUUUUAAGAGUUCAUAUCAACAAGAAAGAUUGCGACCUCGA